rnacentral:rRNA from 1 species
GCCUAACACAUGCAAGUCGAACGAAGUAGCAAUACUUAGUGGCAGACGGGUGAGUAACAUGUGGGUAUCUGCCCUUUGGCCUGGAAUAACACGAGGAAACUUGUGCUAAUACCGGAUAAGUCUUUACGGAGAAAGCUUUAUGCACCAUUGGAUGAGCCCGCAUUUGAUUAGCUAGUUGGUGAGGUAAAAGCUCACCAAGGCGAUAAUCAAUAGCUGAUUUGAGAGGAUGAUCAGCCACAUUGGGACUGAGACACGGCCCAAACUCC